rnacentral:rRNA from 1 species
UACAGAGGGUGCAAGCGUUAAUCGGAAUUACUGGGCGUAAAGCGUGCGUAGACGGUUAUGUAAGUCAGAUGUGAAAGCCCCGGGCUCAACCUGGGAAUUGCAUUUGAGACUGCAUAGCUAGGGUGCGGAAGAGGGAAGCGGAAGUUCCGGUGAUAGCGGUGUAAAGUGCGUAGAUAUCGGAAGGAACACCAGUGGCGAAAGCGG